UACGUAGGGUGCGAGCGUUGUCCGGAAUUAUUGGGCGUAAAGAGCUCGUAGGCGGUGUGUCACGUCGGCCGUGAAAACCCGCAGCUUAACUGCGGGCUUGCGGUUGAUACGGGCGGGCUAGAGUUCGGUAGGGGAGACUGGAAUUCCUGGUGUAGCGGUGAAAUGCGCAGAUAUCAGGAAGAACACCCGUGGCGAAGGCGGCUCUCUGGGACGGUACUGACGCUGAGACGCGAAAGCCAGGGGAGCAAACGGG
rnacentral:rRNA from 1 species